GAACCAUUGAGGGUGACCAAAACCAGCAUCACUCUCUUGCUACCUCCCAGCCGUUGGUGGUGCAAGUGGCUUGCAGCAGAAGCUGGAGCCCUUUGUCACACCUGGCCCAGGAUUUUGGAGAAGUAGAAGAAGGAGACUCAACAAGAGUUGGAGGGACUGUAGGCUCAGUUUCUGCCUGGAAGAUGCUCAUUUCUAGGGUAGCCUGGAGAAGUUGAAGAAGGAAAUCUGGCAGGAACAGCAAGAAAUGCUGGCCAACAAGGACUGGAUUCGGAGAAAAUGUGAUGAGAUCAAAACAAUGAACAAAGGAAAAUUGUCCUUAAAGUUAAUCCCAGCUUUUUCGGUGUGGAUUGAUUAGAUGAAUUCUGACUACCUUAAUUCAAGACUUUUUUCGAUGAUCCAACAAGCACGACUGAGCGACUGAACUGAACUGAACUGAUGACAGACAUGGAUGUCAAAUCAUGGCCAUGCCUUGUGAUAUGCAGGAUCUAGUUCACUGACCAGGGAUCAAAUCAUAGCCCCCUGUAUUGGGAACACAGACUCUUAACCACUGAACCACCAG